AAUACGUGGAGAAGGUGGUCCGGGUCGGCGUCGGCUCCGUCCGGCGCGGGCCACGGGCCUGCUUCCAAGUGUGUCUGCGCGCCGACCACCCACGCCGGGUCCUUCAAGUGCCGCUUCCACCGCACCAACUCCCAGGGCCACGGCCAGGGACAAGGAAGCCGCCCUUCUUUGCCCCCUUCAUCGACCGCGGCCAACACGGUGCCGCGGCACCCGGCCUCACCGUCCUCGUCCUCCUGCACCGUCGUGACCCAGUGA
rnacentral:rRNA from 1 species